rnacentral:lncRNA from 1 species
UGUUUUAAAACAAGCCAUGAGAUGCAAAUGUUAAAGACCAGUGCCGUCUCAAAUCCCCGGGUGUGAAUACUUCGUCUGUCACGACUGUCCCUGGGAAUCCACAGGAGGUGAACUGAAUAAGAUUAGACUAUUUACCCCAUCAACUCUCCAUCAAACAAGGAUUUAAAGCCACACCUGAGAAUGAUCUGAAACCUAUUUCUAGCGAAAGACCCGUAUAAACGUUAAAGAAAAAGAAUGCCAAAACUAAAUUCUUGCUUUGUUGAUACAUCGCAAUGUGAAUAAUUACCAGCAUCAGUUUUUACUUCAAUUUGUCUGUGUAUCAAUUUCUUUACGCCCUUGGCAUUUAGACCUGAACUUCGUGCAAGUUUUUCAAAUUUAAUGAAAAGUGAAACUAUUUGACAGAGGGUUCGGCGGUUUUUUGUUAGAUUUGUGAAAAUUUUUUCUGUUGAUGUUUUUAGAGUUUUCUUUAAUUUUUGUUUGUUUGUUUGUGGGUGGGCUUGGAGAGGGA